UCUGUGGUUUUAGCUGUAUCCAAGGACAAUCCAUCUUACUUGUAUGGUCCGAGUAUGGGUAGUAAUGUCGUUGCCUCGUUGGUUGGAAGAUGGAGAUGAAGUUGAGGCUGUAAGUCUUCCGUACUGUCGGAAAACUUUUCAGUGUAGGAGGUUUUGUUUCAUGAUGCAACUGCUGUUAGAACUAAUUCAGACAGUGUGAUGUUGCUCCUUAGCUUUUAUAGCCUAUGCCACAGUUGUCUACAAUAGUAUGUCUUAAAUAAUAAUUCCAUGUGCUGUCAUUUUCUGUUAAAAACAGAAGAUUUCAGUCAGUUCCAGUUGUAUGUUCAUAAGAUUAUGGAAUUGGAAAAAAAAAAUCAUCCAGACUUACAAUAUUGCUACUGAGAUAUUGAACACAAUACUUUUCUGGCGGAUGACAAUAUAAUUUCUUUUAAAAUUGAUUUGUCACCACAUGGGAAACUGAAAACUGACAGGUGUUUUAAGACACUAUUCAUGUGGAAGGUGAUCACACUGAUGGAGGAAAAUGUAAAAGGAGGAUGAGAAAAUUUCAAAUUUUCAGAAGUGAAAACUCAAUGACAUUGUCACUAUGAUCCAAUCAUUAUCAAUUUGGGGCAUGCAGAAAAAAUGAGCUCAUUAUAUGUGCAAUAAUUUAUUUGCAUGUGUUUUGAAGAAAUAGCUUGGAAAUUUCUGGAAUGUUGAGAGCCUAUCACCAACUGAUAACUUUCCAGCAGCCAUAAAAAGCUUAACAACCAAUGAAAUUCACUUUAAGAGAAGCCUAAAGGAUUUAUUGGUGGCCAACUCCUACUCCAUUGAUGGAUUUCUCAGUAAAACCAACUGAUUUGUGUAUAGUGCAGUAAUGUGUUCAUUGUAAAUAAGUAUUAUAGUAGUUGUAUUACAUGUUUAUUACAUUAUAAAUAAAUAAAUGAACUUCAUUUUAAA